AAGUUCGUUUCAUUAUGCAUUUCGCUUACGUUUUCAUCCCACGUUUGAUAAACGGCGACAUAAAUCCAACGAGGAGCGUUCGUUAGAACGGAUCUUCUUCUAUCCACGGGAGGUUGCCCUCUUCAUCAUCGUUCUCAGGUGUGUUCCUUAAACUGAUCGAUCGAUGUAAGUCCCGGUGAUGUGACGACGCGCGUCGCACGAUGGUAACACGAUGAAGAAGAAGAAGAAGUGGGUCAAGCUCCCUCCCCGAUCGAGCAAGUUGGACGGCGAGAAUUAAAAGCCAGGAACAGGCGGUACCGUUUGUCGUAUCCCGCGAGUUUCGCUGUCGUAGCCGACGACGAAUUGGUGAUGCAAGUUGUCACUACGUUUUUGCGUCUGCACGACGUAUAUCUGUCAAAUCGUCGUCCGUUUUAUGCUGAGCACGCGUUUUUCUGUGUUACAUUAGACAAACUUGGCUGAGAUUUCAACCUAAAUGCUCGAUAAUUAUUCUACACAGUUGAAUUUAAUUGUUGAAUCUACAUCUUUUCAAAGAAAAUUAAUAAAACGGAUAGAAAUA